rnacentral:misc_RNA from 1 species
GGUGAACCUGCGGAUGGAUCAUUUU